rnacentral:misc_RNA from 1 species
GAUGAAGAACGCAGCGAAAUGCGAUAAGUAAUGUGAAUUGCAGAAUUCAGUGAAUCAUCGAAUCUUUGAACGCAUCUUGCGCUCCUUGGUAUUCCGAGGAGCAUGCCUGUUUGAGUGUCAUUACAACCCUCAAGCUCAGCUUGGUAUUGGGCCCCGCCGACCCGGCGGGCCCUAAAGUCAGUGGCGGUGCCGUCCGGCUCCGAGCGUAGUAAUUCUUCUCGCUCUGGAGGUCCGGUCGUGUGCUCGCCAGCAACCCCCAAUUUUUUUCAGGUUGACCUCGGAUCAGGUAGGGAUACCCGCUGAACUUAAGCAUAUCAAUAAGCGGAGGA